AUGGGGAUAACAGAGACCGCCGGCGAAUCCUCGGCGAGAAAGACGCGACGAAGAGCACCAACGUCGUUCGAAUCUCUAGACACAGACAUACUAUGCAUCAUCUUCUCCUUUCUCGAUUUAUUCGAUCUCGUUCACUGUACCGUCGUCUGUAACUCCUGGUAUGCUGUUAUCAAGAAGCUGAAGCUGCUACAGUCCUCAUGCCGGAGGAUGCACCAGGUCGGCUCCACGUCGCUGGAGCAGCCACGCGAGAUAGACGUGGAGGAUUUCGCGAUGAAGCAUCACAAGAUGGCGUUGCUAAGAGGUCGAAUCGAGAUUGAGCGGUGGGAAGCUCACUCACACCGAUUCUCUCAGUGUCGAAUGAAGAAGGGAUUGCUUUUAACUGGUGUAGGUGAUAAGGUUAUGCGUCUCUGGUCGUUGAAUAGUUAUAAAUGCAUGGAGGAAUACUCACUUCCUGAUGCUGCUUCCUUGGUUGACUUCGAUUUUGACGAGAGUAAGAUUGUUGGAUUGGUUGGUACUCGGAUUAGCAUAUGGAGGAGAAAUGGACAAAGAAGCAUCUUUCCGUCUCGUGAAGGCACCAUUCCUAAGGGACUUUGUAUGCGUUACAUUGACCCAGAAGCUGUAGUUGGAUGCGAGGAUGGAACAGCUCGUGUAUUUGAUAUGUACAGUAAGACAUGUUCUCAGAUCAUUAGGACUCACGGUGGGCCAAUAACGUGCUUAUCUUUGAGCGACAAUCAACUGUUUCUUAGCGGGUCUUCACUCGGAAGAGUAACAGUAUCAGACCCUUUACUAGAUCAACCAGUGGCUAUGCUUAAAUCCACGAUAACUGCAGGAGGUAUACAGACCAUCUGUUUUAACCAAGGCUCCAAUCUCGCCUUCUCUGGAACAACCGCUGGAUACGUUUCAUGCUGGGACCUCAGGAAAAUGAGACAGGUGUGGGAAAAUCGAGUGAGUCCUAAUGUGGUGUACUCAAUACAACAGUUAAAGAACGAUACAUCGGUUAUGGUUGCUGGUGGAAUAGACGGUGUGCUGCGAGUGGUUGAUCAGAAGAGUGGCAGAGUUCUGUCAAGCUGUAUAAUGGACGACAAAGUUUCAACAGUUCUGAGAAGGCAGAGCCAAGUCGUGGUUGAGAAAAGGAGAGGAAAAAGAGUAUCUCAAGAUGUCGAGAUCGAUAAAAUCGAAAGGAAAACUCGGCCUCAGAUCAGCUGCAUAGCAAUGGGAAUGAAGAAGGUAGUAACAGCUCACAGUGGUAAAUUCAUAAGCGUAUGGAAAUUCAAUCAUUCAUGAAAGUCAUAAUAGUUGCUAUUGAAAGUCAUAAGCGUAUGGAUUCAAGCUGUGUAUUUGUGACAGAACUGGAAACAAAUCGCAUUACUCUGUGUAUUUGAGACAAAACUGGAAACCAUAGCAAUAUAUAAAUGAUUCAGAGACGCAAAAUCGAUUGAUAGUAGUGAGAAUUCCAAAAAGUUUUUAACACUUGGUAGACUUCUUGGAUGUGUCAGCUUGAGACUCAGCUUUGAGGAUAUUAAGUUGACCACCUUCUUUGCAAGCAGCGUUGGCAGCUUUCACUUCAUUGCAAUGGUUUAUGAACUUGGAACAUAGAAACAUACCCGGUCGGUGUCUAACUCUUUCGUUGUCUUGGACGGUUUCAUAUAUCUCUUCCCUGGAAGUAGAGGAAGAAGAUAAGAAACAGAGAUCGUGAGGGAUGUGCCAAAAAAAAAGAAGUGAAUAUACCUUUGUGAUUUUGAACGGAUUUGCCAUGGCGAUUAAGAGCAACGGUCUUCUUUUUCUGUUGCCCCUUGAACUGAUUGCUCCUCUGCGUCAUCUUCUUUGAUCUUCGUCUCUAGAGUUUCCACUCUCUGUACUCUCUAGGGUUGUGUUGUAAUAGAAGAGAGCAACUCUCAAGCGGGACUAUAUAAUGGCUAUUAAGGUCCAUAUAUAUAUAGACUCAUUAUAGAACCCUCUCCUCAUUUUUGGAAGGUUCCUUGACAGUCCUUGUCUUGGCUUUGCUCUCAGGAUUCUUCGUCUAGUCUUUUUUCAAGCUCUCAACAAGAACUUCUUUUGAUUGUGAUUGUGUCUCCGCUGAGGUUAAAUGCUUCUUGGCCUCAUGACGUCGCAUCUGUCUCAUCACUCCCGUUUGUUAUGGAGAAAGAAUCGAAAAUCUAUGCAAUAGGAGAAACUACUCUCUCAUCAUCUCUCCUUCUCUUGCACGUACCACCAAGCUGAUCCAGUCAUCAGAAAAACUUCAAAGUUGUGGGAGAGCCUUGAAGCGAAGUCUAGAUGAAAUCCAGAGAACUGUUUCAAGGAUGAUGUCAGAGGCUGACAAGAUUGGGAAGAAGGAAGAAAGAAGACAUGAAAAAUCUGAUGCUUAUGAGUCUCUGCUUACUUCGCCUGGACCAUGUCACCCUCCCCAAUCCCUCAUGGUAGUUUAGCUCACCAUAUUAGCUUCUUAAACCACAGUUCUCAACUAUGUUUUGUAAAUUCUCCCUUAAUAAGAUUAACAAGUUCCAUGUC